rfam:Capsicum annuum cultivar Zunla-1 chromosome 9, whole genome shotgun sequence
AACUCAUGGUUGGGACAUUGCAAGAGAUUCCCAUUAAAUCUCUCCCACACCUCACACAGAGGUUAUCCAUUCAAUUGAUAAAAAUUAGUGAUUUCAUUAUGCAAUU